GACGAACGCUGGCGGCGUGCUUAACACAUGCAAGUCGAACGAAGUGGCGAACGGGUGAGUAACGCGUAAUCAACCUGCCCUUCAGAGGGGGACAACAGUUGGAAACGACUGCUAAUACCGCAUACUGAAGGAGGGGAUUGCGUCUGAUUAGCUAGUUGGGGGGGUAACGGCCCACCAAGGCGAGGAACAGUAGCCGGGCUGAGAGGAUGAACGGCCACAUGGGGCCGGAGACAAGGCCCAGACUCCCACGGGAGGCAGCAGUGGGGAAUCCUCCGCAAUGGACGAAAGUCUGACGGAGCAAAGCCGCGUGAUGGAUGACUGCCCUCGGGUUGUAAAGCUCUGUUAAUCGGGACGCGGUACCGGAAUAGAAAGCCACGGCUAACUACGUGCCAGCAGCCGCGGUAAUAC
rnacentral:rRNA from 1 species